UCUAAAAUUGGCAUUGCAUUACCAUCAGAGACCUCAGUAAGUCCAGAGUUGACUGAGAUGGCAAGGCUGUGCAUUAUAAUGAAAAGAACAUUGAGUUAUCUUCAAAGAACUGAAGUUCUAGCUCUGGCUCAUGAAAUUGCUAGCUGUGCAACUUCUGGGGUGUCACUAACCUCUCUGAACACAAGUUUUCUCACUGGUAAAAUGUUGAGAGUAACACUCAUCUCACAGGGCCAUCAUUAGAAAGGAGAAAAGGUGGUGACUCUGCCUUUCAAACCAUAAAGGACUCUGCAGACGGAAGGUACGACUUCUUCCAGUUCCACUACUGAAUCCAUACAAUCUUGAGAUGUGUGUUAAGUCUUGUGUGCUUCUACUUAGUCUAAAAAUUACAGAUGCGUAGUCUUUUCCAGGAAAAUUUGUGUCCCUCUGCUAAAGGAAAUUUCAAAAACACAGGGGGUAGGAAAUCUGUAUACUUUUUGCUUAUGCUUUCAUUCAACUAACAUUUAUCAAGUGCUGACUGUUGUAGCUCUAUAUGGAGCCCAAGGAUAUAAAGGUAAAUAGGAUAUACUUUCCUGACCUCCAGAAACCCAAGGUUUCAUAGGAGUUAUAACCACACAAACGUGAUUAUGAUACGCUGUGAGGCGUAUUGAUAAUCAGAGAUGUUCAGACAGCUGGUAGCCUUUAAAAGGAGGUGAAUCUCUUAGUUACUAUCUGAGAGAUUGAGGGGGAACCAGAGAGGAGGAAAAAUUGCUGGGUAAAGAUAAAUUUCCUCUGUGUCCCAGUUUCUUAGAACCUGCCCUUCAAGCAAGGCUUCUCCAGGAGUUCUUUUCAAGGGCUUUGUUGGAGCUUCUCAGCUGAGAGUAUGGUCUUGGUUGGCUGAAACCCUAAUGGCAAUAAACUCCCUCAAAAGAGACCAUACAUGAUGAAUUGCAAUAAAAUCCUUGACCCAGCUCUUGGUUAGUGAAUUCUUUGCUUUAAGAAGUACUUUUAUGAUUCAAUGGCCUCUUUGACCUGAAGUCAAGAUUGGAUAGCACCAUGAUCUUCCCACUCCUGAGCAGGAAUCUUUCUCGUCAACACAACCACAUCCGGCUUACUGGAAAAGAGCUUCUUGGUGCUGUUGUUAAACUAGCAGUACCACAAGACUUUUGCAAGAAAUCAAAGCAGAUUUCAUUACUCAAUAAACAUUUUGUGAGGGCCUGUUAGACACCAGACAUUAGUAACACAGAGCUAGCUGGGAUAGAGUCCUUGCCUUCAAAGUCCCUACAGUCUAGAAGGGGUGAUAGCCACAUGAUUAAAUCUCUCCAAUAAAGCACUAAAGAGGCUGUAAAAAAAGGUGCAGUAGAGGCAUGAGGGAUAUAGAGUUGGGAUUUCUUAGCAGUUCAGGAAAGGAUUCAGGGAGAGGGUGAAUAUUGAAAUAUGAGGGGGUAUUCACCAGAUGAACAAUGGGGAAGGAUAUUCUAGGUAAGAGUAUAAGCAAGGGCUCAAAGGUUGGGAAAAAAACCUGGUGUGUUCCAGGAACCCCACGCAUUUUUCCAUCGCUAGAGCAUCAGGCUAUGGGGGCAUGCGAGGUGAGAGCUGACAUCAGAGGAAAGUUAGAGUAGAAAUUCCUGGGGUGCCACACCAAGGAGUGAGGACUCAGUGGGGAUCUACUGAAGGAUUUUAAUUUGCUUUUAAGAUUAGAUGACUGUUGAGGAGGUUGGCGGCCUGGGUCUGCCACAAAGAGGAUGCUGACUGCUCACUUCAGCAGAACAGGAGAGCAUUUCCAAACUGUUCAUCACUUUCAUUGUUAUCUAACACCUAACAUUCAGAGACCAUAUCUGAAAAGCGAAAUUGAGAUAUCCAACUGAUUAGGUUCCCAAGUGCUGAAGAGAUGGCUUUUAAAGUGCUUACAUGUCCCGGAAACAGGCAAAAGUAAAGCAUCUUCCCAGCUGUUCCCUAAUCUGGGAACUUCUCAUGGUAACUGACAAGAGUUCAACACAAUCAAUCAGAAACCCCAUGAAAACAGCCCCACUGCUGAGCGUCCAUUGAGAACUCCGCCAUCUCUCAUAUGUCUGAGGAAACCAGAGACGGUGCCAAGUGAUUUUUAAAUAAUCAGCUUGUCUGUAAGAAAAGAACCAUUUAUAUCAACAGUUCUCAGCAACAAAGCAUUCGCUCCUUUCAAGGAGAAGCUUCCACCAAAGCUAACUAAAAGCAAAGCUCCUCCUAAUCCUGCACCAAAAGUUUCAGAGCAAAUAGAGGAUAGGGUGCAAAUUUAGGUGAGGGCUCACUAUGACACUUUUUUCUGCUAAAUGGCUUGUAGGAACUCUAUGAAAGUGGCUAAUGUUGAAUCGGACAGCAGUCUCCUGGUUUGUGGUGUCUGGUGGCCCCUAGUGGAGGCUCAAGUGUCCUCCCCCCACCCCCACCCCCAGCUCCGUUCACUUCCAAAGAGUACUAAUAGCUGAUCAGGUUUAAGGGCAUUUUAUUACCAGUUGUACUAAUAGGUGGGGUUCUUUGCCAAUUAAAAAGGAGACACUCAACAUCAACGAUAUCGUAUCUCCUGCUAUACUUUAUAUUUGGUAUAGCAGAAAUGAAUUUUUUUAGGCCACCAACUGAGACAAGCAAAUAAAUGUAUCUUUCUUGAUUUUUAUAUUUCUAUCUCAAACCCCCCUUCCUCUUGGUAAUAAAAACUUUGCCUUUGACAGGGUAAGCUCAGGCAAACCAGGAUUUUCUUUUGAUGGCUUUGUUUAGAGAUUUUCAUCCAUGUCCGCUGAGUUAUGUAGAGCUUCUUUGAUGAAGAGGAGGUACUUCAUCCUCAGUUGCCAUCACUUCUCCAUGAAGGCAUCCCCUGGGAUGAACGCACCAGCCCCAGUCCUGGACACCUGUGUCUAUCUGCCCCAGCACUCCUGGAGGUGUCCCAUCUCCCUAUAUGGUCAUCACAUUCAAGUCUUCUUCUGGCCCAUUGGUCCUUUCUCAGAUACAUGAGAGGUCUUCUCUAAGGUGGCAUGGGUGGCUUUGAGAUAUUCUCCUGUGCCGCCCUGGGGCUGUGGGAAAGUCAACGGGACCAUCUCAUGUUCUCUUUGCUGAGAGACAUGCCAUAUGCCAACCUGGAUGGUACAAGAGAACUGAGAGGCUUAAUACCUUCCUGGCCUCCACCUGAGAAGCAAGACACAGAUCCACUCUAUCCUAGGACCCCCAGUGAAGUGUAGGGCCUCAGUCAUUGCCCAGAAUCCAAAGGCCCAGUUCCCUACAACUCUACUGCCUCAUGCCCUGGAGUCUUUCUCCAGUCUAGACAGCUUGGAUAAAGCCGACUUAUUCUCCCCAGCUUCUUGUUUCUGGCACACACGACUCUAAAGAUUUCCCUCACUUCCACAUCUCAUGACUUCUUACUUCUGGCAUCAGUUUCAAAAAGCCAACUACCACUUCUCAGUUCUUGGAGGUUCUCAUCUGUUGCAGUUCUAAAGCAAUGUCAUCCACCAACUGAAGGGAAAAGAAUCAGAACUCACAGGAAUUAACUGAAGAAGAGACAGCAGUCUAUAUGUGCAAAUAUUAUCCUGACACAUUUGUUGCUGUCAUGAAGCUGGAGAAGUGGGAUGAUUUGGGGCUGCUCCCUUACAAGAGAGGGUCCGUUCCAGCCUCUCUCUCUCUUUCUCCCUCACUCCUAAUGUGGUCCAGAGGUCCAGGACUUUUCUGAGGAGACACAAUCAACACUUCUUACUCUUCCUACCAAGCAGGUGAGGUAUGAAGGUAUCAACAACUUGCCUGAAAGUGCCUGAGGUGGAGGGUCAAUUGAGUCAGCUCAGCUCUGGAUCUUACAGGGGAAAAGUAGAAACUUUCUGGUUUCUUCUUUCCUCUAGCCCAGAUAAAAGACAGUCUCCACGUGGUCAACUGUCAAUCCCUAGAAAUUUGCAAGUUGGUUUAAGCCUCAGAAUUCACUUUGUCCUGAGGACAGGGAAGUCUCUGUGCAGAAGUUGGCAUUUGACCUUGUCUUGAAGGAUGAGGACAGGGUGGAGGGAACUGCAGGAGGAGGAAUCAGCAUAAAUAAAGGCCAAGAAUUGGGAAUAUGGAACAAGGGAAAGGGGCAGGCUAAAGAUGAUCUGAAGUUUCUGUUCUGGGUAUCAGCCAGAUGGUGAAGCUGUGAACAGACCAAGGCUUCCCAUUUAGAAUUUAUCUUUGGCAGCCAUGUGUUAGAUUUUUCUGUAUACAUCUUGCCUUCUUGAAAACAGACAUCACCUUUUAUUCAUUCAUUUAUUCAUAUAUCUUUCCUUAAAGAAAAUAACCAGUAUACACUGUAAUAACUGAAAAUAUGCCACGGAAGAUAUCCCUCAUCCUGUUCACUGGAUUUGCUCCAUUUAGGAGUAUGUUGCCAAAAUUGUAGAUGCUUUGUUUUUCUCAAACUAUUUCUUUAAGCUUUGCAGAUUAGGGAAAAAUCUAUGUUGCUUCUUCCCUACAUAUUUUAAAUUAUAAUUUGGGUUAAAUUAAUAUAUCUUAAAUCAUGAGCAUUUGACAAUUUAACCUUCAAGAUAUUAUUGCAAACCUUUAAAAUAUUAUUUUUCAGGGCCCUUUGACUCAUUUGCUAUUUACCUUGCCAACAAAGCAGUCUUUCCUAACACACAAAAAAAUGAGACUCUACCUGUUGUAAAUAGAUUCUAAUAAAUUAUUUGAGUCCAUCUGGAAAUACAGAAAUGUCUAACUGCCAAAGCUUAUCCCGAUUCUAUUUUUUGAUAGAGUCACAAGACAUGCAAGAGAGAAGCAAAUAAAAAUGCCCUUUCAUUUUGUCUGAAAUACAACACCACCCUCAGCUUUUCUCAUCAUAUCAGAAAAUUCCCUCCGGCCAAGCUGACUGCAGUUCAGCUCAGCAGGGUACAUUGAUCCAGGUUCCCUUCAGAAGCCUUCUCUCCCCUUCUUCCCCCAUGAUAGGAUAAAUGCCCAUUACCCCAGAGGCUGGGGCUUGUUUCUUGCAGGAAAUACGACCUCAUUUUUAUCCCUCUGUUCCUGCCUCUCUAUUGCACAUUCCAUCAAUCAAAUCAAAUACAAGAGUACCAGGGACUAGUGCAUAUUACGUGCAGAAUAGUCACUGAAAAUUUGGGUAGACAACACAGUGAUUUCUAGAGAGUUCUGAAAUCCUAGUCUAUGGACAACUGAUGAAAUUAUUUGGAAGCAUGCACCUGACUCUGUUUGCUUACUUGAGAGCGUCUGAAAACUUCUUGAACCUCAGAAAAUAUAAAAAAAUCAUUUGUCUUUGCCAAUAAAGAAUAUUGGCCUGCACAGAAUUUUAAAAUCCAAUACUUAAAUUUUUCUUCAAGGUUUCUUUGCUUUUGCUCAUUCCUUCCCAAUAUUUUCCAAAAAGCAGAAAGAAACACCACUCAAGGUUCUCCUCUUAAAAACUGGAUGAGCACAAUUACUCUCGGGAAGUCUCCACGGUGUCUUGGUUUGGACUAACCCAUUCAUCUCCACCAACAGGGAACUUUUUUUUCUUUGAAUACCCUAAAACCAGUAUUGCCCAUCCCUAUUCCAGAGUCAGUGAAACCUGUGGUCCAACCCAAGAUCAGGAAGGACUGGAGAGGGAAGAGGCAACAACUCCCCAGGCAGCUUGUGUUCCCUCAAAAUUGUUAUCACCACCUCUUCAUUCAACGCAGGAUCAGAGCAGUUUUAGAGCUGGAAGAGACCUGAGCACAAUAUGGCCCCAUCCUAAGUAGUUCCAUUCCUUCAAGGACUUCUCCCAGACCCAAAAGACUCAGACACAAGAGGGAUGUUGGGCAGAUGGGCCACCUGCGUUGAAUUAGUUCUUACACAGCUCAUUUGACCCUGGGUGCUUUGAUUUCUGGCUACCUCAAUUCCAAACUUAUUUCUCCCCCUUCCUGUAGCCUACCAUAUCCAGCCCUACAUGCUAUUUGUCCUGCCUUGCUGGCUGUCAGCUUUUAUGCUCCAUUUCCUAGGUGCCACCCAGCAUUUUCCUUCUGGACUCAUCCUCUCAGUGGACUCCUAACCUGCCAGAAAGCCCAUUUUGGUUUAUCCUGAAACCCUCCACAUCUUUGACCUAAGGGAGCCCAGCCUUAUGAUCUGGUUUCUAGAAAGUCUAACCCCUUUGUUGCAUAAAUAAGGAAAUUGAGGCCAAAGGUUACAUUGAUGACAGAGCAAGAUGUAAACCCAGCAUCCUUCUCCAAAUUAUGGGCUCGUUUUUCCACAUACAAUUUAGAAUAAAUCAAUAAAAUUACCACUCCAUUUUAGCUUAAUCUCAACGACUAGCCGUCCCCCUCAUCACCCUGGCCUCCAAACUCUGGGCUCUUUUUUUUCUAAUUUUAACAAGAUUGGAGUGAACCCUUCUCCCUUCCUGCACUGUGUUGCCUGGAACUCAGAUUUGAUGGAUGGGAUGGCCAUGCUAGACCCUGAAGAUGAGAGCCCCAACCUGGAAACAGCCAUGUGAUAAUCCAGAGGGAGCCUGGUCCCUGAUGACAUCAAGGAAUCACCAAACUGGACUGCUUGCCCCUCGACUUCUUUCAUGGAAGAGAAAAACUAAAAGUGCAUAUUUUCAUUUUUUUACACUAAAUGCAACAAACAUAGCCCAAGCAAAAACAACGACCUCACACUAAGGAACGGAAGAGCAGGUGGAUCAGAGGGGCCUGGGUUUCUGAUGCUGUCACAGAGCUGCCAUACCUACGCUAGUCUUACUUUCCUUGGGAGAAAAGUAAAGCUUCUAAAUUAUUUAGGGUUUCAUGGAGGAGUGGGGAUGGAGCUGGAGUUUCCAUAGGAGGAGAUGCUUCUCCGCUUGGGCUGCUCCUUAAGCAACUAAGAAUGCCUGUUUCUUUCUGCAGGGUUCAGUUGCCCGGGUCAAGGCUGUGUGAUUCAGAGACAUUCCUGCUCCCACACACAGGCCCAACUGCUUGAGCUGUUAUCCAACACCAGCUUCCUAAAAAAGCCUGUGAAAAUGCCCACAACUCUUAAGCCCUAAGCUGAAGAUUGACUCAGCGGUUUUUCUAGGUCCUCUCUGUGAGAAGGGACAGCACAGGACCCAGAGAAAAGCAGAAAUCCCUGCGCCUAACCCAGCGAUUUACUGUAACCAACCUGGAACCAUUAAAGCAAAACACUGACAGAAGUCAGGGCUCCGUUCUUCCAACGUCUCACCCUGCUCUGGACCUUCAGCAUGUUUACUGUGCAGCCAUCUGUGAACAUCUUUGUGAAACUAGUUAAAGCCUUUUGAGACCCUAAACUUCUAGUUACACUAAUUUCCCCCCACAUGAAUUAGGACUUGAGUAAACAAAAGGCAGACUUGAGGACGGAGAGCGACUGUGCCGUGUUAAAUGGUGCAUUUCUCCGGGCCUGCCCGUGGAUUGUUGCGUUCCCAUCCCCGGGCGCCAGAGACCGUAUAAUGGGCUCUUUAUGUGGUGCUUGGUUAGAAAAACGUAUUGACAAAGAAUCACAGACAAAUCAUAGCCGUGACCUUUAGCGUUCAAACGCGAUUUUCCUUGGGAGUGAUUUAAUUGCCCAUGCAGCUCGCUGGCUGCACACAGGAGCAGCCUUUCUGCCUUUCCAAAGGCCGCGGCCGGGCCAGGCUGGUUUGCCUUUCCUGUGAAUGUUUGGCCCAGGACUGCUCCUAUAACGAGGCUCCGUUGUGCCAUACAAGGAUAAACAGCGCAUGGCAUCCAGCUGGACUCAGUGAGCUUGAAAGAUUGCUUCCCGAGCACCUGCUGCCCAAGCCGACCUUGGAUCUGACAGCGCCCCUGGCCUCAGACUCGGCGUUCAGAUGACUGGCACAGAUGCCCGUGCAGGCCUGUGGCCCGCAGGCGUAAGAGCGGGGGCCAGGGGCUACUGAGUGAGAAUGCAAUCUAUACAUGGCAAGUAUAUUUAGCCAGGAACAUUGGUAACAAGUGACAGACAUCAAACUCAGACCAGCUUCAGUAAGAAAUGAUUAUAUUGGCUCUGUGUUGAGGACAAUGAGAUAACCCAUCGGAUACAAGUAGCCUUCUAGCUUUGGAAAGGAAUCCAGAACUACUGUCUGGGGCUUCCUAAGAAAUAAUCCUCUUCCAGCUAAAUGGAGGAUGAACAAUGUGGUGGAAGAGGGUCAGAAGCAGCAGUGAAGACAAUAGGAGAAGCACAGUGCUUCACAAUGAAGUUGCUGGGCCAGAAUCUUGACCAAAGUCAUCUAGAACAAGGACAAUCUGAAGAAAAUAAUGCCAACUGAUUUCAGGAGAAGAGGAGCUGUCAUAUCACCACCAACGUAUAAAAAUGAAGAUGGGCACAUUGAUGAUCAAGAUGAAACACCAAAGAGGACGAGGGAAUGCACCAGGAGAGUGAUGAGCUGAAUCCAUCUCGUGGCAGUCUCAGAAGGACCAACCCACAAAUAGCAACAAUGUCAUUGGGACUUGCCAGUCACCGUCUUUGGCCCCAUUAGACCCAACAACAACAAAAGAGAGCUCAUUGGUCAAGAAGAGUUGUUAAAUGACAAAUUCAGGAAGACUCACUAUGAAUUACAGUUCCUAGUGGUUUUCAAACUUCAACCCAAACUGUGAUGAAGAUAUUUAGAAUAGCAUCAUUGCAUAAGUUCUCCCCUUCUUUCAAAGACAGAGUUUAACAUGAACAAAGAUUGGGGGGGAGGGUGUGGUUUAAAGGUUUUUUAAAAGUUAUCUGGAUUAUUCAGAGUAAUCAAAUCAAUCAUGGCAGACACUGUUAGUUGUCUCCCUUCUUCCUGGCUGAUAAAUCCUGAUUUUCUUCAGAUGUUCACCCUUCCAUGUGCUCAUGGAAAGUAGUGAACAACAACGCGUUUAAUAAAACCAUGGAAAUUCUAUUCCCCCUUCACAUGUGACUCAGUCUUGCUCUCUGGAGUGAGAAGGGGCUUUGGAAAGGAUUUUCCCUGCUAAUAAAAAGAGGAUCACUAGACAACGGUCCCUUCAUCAUCCAGACAUUGUGCGUCUACAUGAGAUGCCUGGAGCUGAGGCAGCCAUCUGGUAAACAAGAGAACAGAGCCUAAAAACCAAAUUGAUAUGCUGAGCAUAACAUGCUAAGAGAUGGAAACAGCAUGGGCCCUGAAUGAUAUUUGUGAGACUGCAGAAUCAUUCUGAAACUGAGUGUGUGUUAAUAAUAACAAUAAUAUGACAAUAUUCUUAUUAGCUUUGUUCUAAUUACAAUCAUUUGAAUUAAUACAAGAGCAAAACACUGAA